CCUACGGGAGGCUGCAGUGAGGAAUAUUGGUCAAUGGACGAGAGUCUGAACCAGCCAAGUAGCGUGAAGGAUGACUGCCCUAUGGGUUGUAAACUUCUUUUAUAAAGGAAUAAAACGUGGCACGUGUGCCUUUUUGCAUGUACUUUAUGAAUAAGGAUCGGCUAACUCCGUGCCAGCAGCCGCGGUAAUACGGAGGAUGCGAGCGUUAUCCGGAUUUAUUGGGUUAAAGGGGUGCGUAGGCGGGCGUGUAAGCCGGCGGUCAAAUGUCGGGGCUCAACCCCGGCCUGCCGUCGGAACUGGGGGGCUUGAGUGGGCGAGAAGGAGGCGGAAUGCGUGGUGUAGCGGUGAAAUGCAUAGAUAUCACGCAGAACCCCGAUUGCGAAGGCAGCAUACCGGAGCACGACUGACGCUGAGGCACGAAAGUGCGGGUAUCGAACAGGAUUAGAUACCCGAGUAGUC
rnacentral:rRNA from 1 species